UUCGGUUAUCUCAGAUCUAAUAAAUGUGUUAUAAGAAGUUAUUCUAAAUAUAUCGUAAAAUAUAUUUUCUGAAUAUAGGUCAUGUUUUAUUAAACUACAUCUUACUUUACUGAUACAUCUAACAUGUUAUCUAUAAUAUCAUGGAAGGACAUAUUUGAUAUGCAAUGUUGCUACCAAUGUUUUAUUUUUUCAUCAAGCAUACAAGUUUACUUUUAGUUGUUUUUUGGGGGGGAAGAUAGGAAAAAUAUUGUUGUUAAUAUUAAAAUUUCUUAAUCUGGAAUAUUUUUGCCAGGUUGCCAGGUGUUAAUUGACUAAUUGACAAUCAAUUAAAAAGGGGCUGGAAAGCCAGACCUUGCUUUUUUUGUUUGUUUGUUCUUUCCUCUACGAGCCUGGAGGUGACAGGGAAGAAGCAUCACAUCUGGGUGUGGAACCAGGGUGGAAUGAAUUCCCUUAUGGUCAUACAUCAUAUUAGAGAGGGAAGCAGGUAUGAACUGAUUACAAUCCAUUUGUGGUAGACUUCAACUGUGAUGCAGUUUUCAAUUUGAGUGGAAGCAGUCAAGGGGAAGAGAAUGCAUCAGGAUAGGACAAACCCCUGAAAAAGCACCAAGC